AAUAAUAUAAUAAAAUUAAUAUAAAUAUCAUAUUUAAAAAAAUAACAGUUGUCUAUACACUAAAAUCAAAAAAAAAAAAUCUUAUCUUAGAAUAAAUAUAUCUUAAAAUAAAAUAAUCUAAAGAAGGAAACUUUUGUAAAUUAAAAACUCUAUAAAUUAAUAAAAUUUCAAAGUCCCAACAUUAUUAAUUUAUAGAGGUUUUACUGUACUAAAGAGAGAUGUCCCAACGGCCAACACACGGGAGAUUUUUUAAAAAUACAAAAAGUAGUGAAACAAACAGCGUCCCCGUGUGUUGGCCGUUGGAAAAAAUUGGGAUAUGAGCCCACACAAACACACAUCAAUAGCAUCGACCUAACACACCUUCAACAACCAAACCGAGCAAUUAUUAGGCCCAGAGCG
rnacentral:lncRNA from 1 species